rnacentral:rRNA from 1 species
AGGGCGUACGGCGAAUGCCUGGCCACUCGAAACUGAAGAAGGACGCGCCAAACUGCGAAAAGCUCCGUGAAGCUGUAAGGAAGCGAAGAAGCGGAGGUGUCCGAAUGGGGGAACCCGGCAGCAGACAUGAGCUGUCAUCUGCAGGUGAAUACAUGGCCUGCAAGAGAGGUACCCGGCGAACUGAAACAUCUAAGUAGCCGGAGGAAAAGAAAACAACAGUGAUUCCCUGAGUAGCGGCGAGCGAAAGGGGAGAAGCCCAAACCGGUUGAAGGACCGGGGUUGAAGGACCAUGACAUGGCAAGAACGAGGAUAGGAGAACGGGAUCGAAAGCCCGGCCGAAGAAGGUGAAAGCCCUGUAACCGAAAUCCGAGUAAAGCCUAAUGGGAUCCUGAGUACGGCGAGACACGAGAAAUCUUGUCGGAAGCAGGCGGGACCAUCCGCCAAGGCUAAAUAUAAACGAGUGAGCGAUAGUGAACCAGUACCGUGAGGGAAAGGUGAAAAGAACCGCGGGAGCGGAGUGAAAGAGAACCUGAAACCGUAUGCCUACAAGAAGUCAGAGCCCGUUAAGGGGUGAUGGCGUGCCUUUUGUAGAAUGAACCGGCGAGUUGCGACAGACUGCGAGGUUAAGGAGGAAAGACCGGAGCCGAAGCGAAAGCGAGUCUUAAGAGGGCGAAAGUAGGAUGUUGCAGACCCGAAACCGGGUGAUCUAGCCAUGAGCAGGUUGAAGUUGAGGUGAAACUCAAUGGAGGACCGAACCGACUACCGUUGAAAAGUUAGCGGAUGACUUGUGGCUAGGGGAGAAAUUCCAAUCGAACCCGGAGAUAGCUGGUUCUCCCCGAAAUAGCUUUAGGGCUAGCGUCGGAAAGAACCUUAGUGAAGGUAGAGCACUGAAUGUGUGAUGGCCCCAUCCCGGGGUACUGAAUACAAUCAAACUGCGAAUGUCAUUAAGGAUGUCCGGCAGUCAGACUGUGAGUGAUAAGGUCCAUGGUCAAGAGGGAAACAGCCCAGACCGCCAGUUAAGGUCCCAAAAUACAGGCUAAGUGGAAAAGGAUGUGGGGAUGCCCAGACAACUAGGAGGUUGGCUCAGAAGCAGCCAUCCUUUAAAGAGUGCGUAACAGCUCACUAGUCGAGUGACCCUGCGCCGAAAAUGUACCGGGGCUAAGCCUGAUACCGAAACUGCGGAUUGUAGGAAACUAUAGUGGUAGGGGAGCGUUGUAUACGAGCAGAAGCCGUACCGUGAGGAGCGGUGGAUUGUAUAGAAGUGAGAAUGCCGGUGUGAGUAGCGAGAUGUAGGUGAGAAUCCUACACACCGAAAGCCCAAGGAUUCCAGGGGAAGGUUCGUCCGCCCUGGGUAAGUCGGGACCUAACGCGAGGCCGAAAGGCGUAGUGGAUGGAAAGCAGGCGAAAGAUUCCUGCACCCGUAUAUGGAGCGAAGGAGUGACGGAGACGGAUAGUGUGACCCUCUUAAUGGAUUGAGGGCGAAGCGAAGCGGCUGGUUACCAGGCAAAUCCGGUAACCAAAAGGCUAGAGCGUGACAGGUAAGCGAAAUCUUCGGAAAGUAGCGAAGCACAUGAUGACGGCUUCCAGGAAAAGCUUCUGGCAAUGCAUAUGCGGCCCGUACCAAAACCGACACAGGUGGGCAGGGAGAGAAUCCCGAGGUGAGCGAGAGAACUGUUGCCAAGGAACUCGGCAAAAUGACUCCGUAAGUUAGCGAGAAGGAGUGCUUAAGCAAUUAAGCCGCAGUGAAGAGGCCCAAGCGACUGUUUAACUAAAACACAGCUCUCUGCGAAGUCGCAAGACGAAGUAUAGGGGGUGACACCUGCCCGGUGCUGGAAGGUUAAGAGGAUCUGUUAAGAGCGAUCUGAAGCAGUGAUCCGAAGCCCCAGUGAACGGCGGCCGUAACUAUAACGGUCCUAAGGUAGCGAAAUUCCUUGUCAGGUAAGUUCUGACCCGCACGAAAGGUGUAACGAUUUGGGCGCUGUCUCGGCAGCAGACUCGGUGAAAUCUUAGUACCUGUGAAAAUGCAGGUUACCCGCAACUAGACGGAAAGACCCCAUGGAGCUUUACUGCAGCCUGAUAUUGAAUUCUGGUCAUACAUGUACAGGAUAGGUGGGAGACAAAGAGACGUGCACGCCAGUGUACGAGGAGUCGACGUUGGGAUACCACUCUUGUGUGACCGGGGUUCUAACCUGGUAUCGAGAACAGGUACGGGGAGAGUGUCAGGUGGGCAGUUUGACUGGGGCGGUCGCCUCCCAAAGAGUAACGGAGGCGCCCAAAGGU